rnacentral:rRNA from 1 species
UACGGAGGAUCCAAGCGUUAUCCGGAAUCAUUGGGUUUAAAGGGUCCGUAGGCGGUUUAGUAAGUCAGUGGUGAAAGCCCAUCGCUCAACGGUGGAACGGCCAUUGAUACUGCUAGACUUGAAUUAUUAGGAAGUAACUAGAAUAUGUAGUGUAGCGGUGAAAUGCUUAGAGAUUACAUGGAAUACCAAUUGCGAAGGCAGGUUACUACUAAUGGAUUGACGCUGAUGGACGAAAGCGUGGUAGCGAACGG